rnacentral:lncRNA from 1 species
UGACAUCUUCCUCACAAUCCUCUGAGCCAAUUUGCGUGGAGAGAACGGAGAUGAUCUGGCUAACUGUAGCACGUGCCGUUGACGGCAGAUGAAGGACAUUGGUGUAUAUAUGCUGCCGGCAGUUGAUGAGAGAGGGGGAGGCAACGGGGUAAAAAGAUGUAAUUUACAUUCGGAAAAGGGAUUCCAGCUAUAUAUGAAUUUUUUUUAUCUUUGUUUCAUGCGAUCUUCUAUGUGAACUGGAUAUAUGAGAAACCGUAAAUCAGAAUGUAAUUACUUUUUUGGUUCUUUAUUAUGUACAGUAUGUAUGCAGUGAGUGGCUCUUCCAUUCUAAUGGUGAAAACUAGUGAAAUGGUUUUCCAGUCAUAGUUACAUACUAGUACAAAAAUGCAUUCUUGCCCACGUAGAUGUGGUACAAAACAUUAACUUAUCAUUAUUUGAUUGGGUCAGAGGCGAUACACACUGAUAAUUUUGUUUGCUAUGGUUAAAUGCUUCUGUAGUUAAUGUAAUUACGUUUUUGUUCUUUACGGAGUAUGUAGUGCCUCUUUCGUUCUAAGGCCCUGUUGAGAAGCCUAUUUUUUGGUUCAAAAAUCAAGGUAAAAUACAGGCCAGUAAAAUGAUUCAUUUCAAUUAGAAUAUAAACUUGUAUGGAACAUCAGUGUCUGGCCGGUCUAAAACUGAUUGUUCACAGUUUACACGCGGGAGCAAAUAACCUGGGAAGUAGGAGUACACACGUGCGUGUUCACCAAAGCCUUUCGAAAUCUAGUUUUAAAGACAUGGAUGCAAGAAACAAAAUGGUUCUUCAGUUGGACUAAUUGGUUUGAAAGAUAAGUCAAUUGGCUAAACAAUCAUUUGGUUAUGCCAUUUUAGGUUUCAGCUUGACAUUUUGUUUUCUUAAAAGGAAAGUAAAAUAGAGACGAGCGUCUUUUUUUUUUCCCUCACAAGGCGGCUAGGGAAAAGCCUUCCUCCUCUCGAUAUCCACCGGCGAGCUUGUGGAUUCACCUUCCCUUUGUCUGCUGCUUCGUCGGCUGAUGACGGGGAGACAAUCUUGGUCCCUCGUGUCUGGCUAGUAGUUAGGUUAGGAUUUUAGUCCUUGCAAGGGCGGCGCUUCUUCUUCGAGUUAGCUUUUUGGGCUUGGUACUCCUGAAGUUCCUCCAUCAAGAUGGAUAAGACGAAGCUCCAUCGUAGAUUCUAGCCAGCUCCUUGGGGUGCGCGAGGUUAAGGUUUCUCGUUGUGCGUGCAUGACAGCAUGAUUUGGUGUCAGGUUCUUCAUUAUUUAAGGGUUCAAUGUCGCCGACUGCAGCUCCAAGGUGCUGGUCCUUAUGGGCACGUACAUGAAGACUUUCCGACUGUCAUCAACAAUGUCAGACCGACUCAUGUAUGGAACAACGACAACAACAGUGGUCAUUCAGUGGUGUAAGAACCCCGAUAUGAAUUCUAUUAUAUUUAAGAUGCUUUAUACUUCCGCUGAACUUUUAUAAUACAUUUGACUCAUUUUUGCAACAAAAAAAAAA